rnacentral:lncRNA from 1 species
ACGGCAGUGGCGGAGCGCAGACUCCCCUGUCGUCCAGCGCUGUUUUUGCUCAUAUUCUACUUGCUAUAAUUAAUAAAAUUUUAAUUGGAUUAUGAUCCGUUGUGGUCACAAUUUAUGACAAUUUCUGGUGCCGUGACUCGGAUAAGGAACGGUGGGCUUUGGUCCUCCGGGGAGGCGCCCCGCGACAUUUCGCGGCCCCGCGACCAACAGCUCACUCCAACCUUACCGACGAACCUAAAUUCUAGGAUAUUGAGCAAAAAAGGACCGGUAAAAUCCCAUAAAAUUCUGUGCACGGGAGUCCGGACGAAGACGCAGGACGCAAACAGCUGUCCGAACUGCUGAGCGUGGAUGGACUCAUGCCAGUCGCAUUAAAGGCCCAGUGACGAGACCCCACUGGAAAGUAAUCAGUACUCCAGGUGACACCAAGAUAACCCUGAAAAGAUAACACAGAAACUCGGACACUGCUUGAGUAAGAUAAGAUAACCACAAUCGCGAGAUAACUGCCAGACUUCCAGGAACCGACAGAAACAGGACAAACAACCCCAGAUAAGGACAUGUGAAUGAGGGGUCAGCUAUGGGAUAAAGGAGAAAGACUUCUUACUUCGGCCUCAACGACCACCAGGAGGUAGAAAACGACCCCCUAACAACAACUGAAGCAUGCGCAGAGUACCUCCACUACUUCAUGAACACGGAAGUAAAGAUGUAUAAAAAGGGACUGUUUGAACUGCUCAGCACGGCAGUGGCGGAGCGCAGACUCCCCUGUCGUCCAGCGCUGUUUUUGCUCAUAUUCUACUUGCUAUAAUUAAUAAAAUUUUAAUUG